AGUAUACGGUAUUAGGCGGUAUGCCUGCCCAGUGACACUGUUAAACGGCCGCGGUAUCCUAACCGUGCAAAGGUAGCAUAAUCACUUGUCUUUUAAAUAAAGACUAGAAUGAAUGGCCAAACGAGGUUCUACCUGUCUCUUACAAAUAAUCAGUGAAAUUGAUCUCCCUGUGCAAAAGCAGGAGUAAAACUAUAAGACGAGAAGACCCUGUGGAACUUCAAAUAUAAGUCAACUAUCAUAAACACCCACCCACGGGCCCACACCUAUUAGCACCUGACUUGUACUUUUCGGUUGGGGUGACCUCGGAGCAAAACCAAACCUCCGAAAAAGAACUUCAUCUAAGCCUAGAUUCUACAACCCAAAGUGCCUCCGGCAAACCGAUCCAAUACACUUGAUCAACGAACCAAGCUACCCCAGGGAUAACAGCGCAAUCCCGUCCUAGAGUCCCUAUCGACGAUGGGGUUUACGACCUCGAUGUUGGAUCAGGACAUCCUGAUGGCGCAACCGCUAUCAAGGGUUCGUUUGUUCAACGAUUAACAGUCCUACGUGAUCUGAGUCAAAACCGGAGAGAUCGCCUUGUUUAUCAAAAACAUGGAUCGU
rnacentral:rRNA from 1 species